CCCUUAGAUGCUCUGGGCCGCACGCGCGCUACACUGGUCGAUGCAACGAGUUUCUUUCCUUGGCCGACAGGCCUGGGCAAUCUUUGAACAUCGAUCGUGAUCGGGAUAGAUUCUUGUAAUUUUUGAUCUUAAACGAGGAAUUCCUAGUAAACGCAAGUCAUCAGCUUGCAUUGAUUACGUCCCUGCCCUUUGUACACACCGCCCGUCGCACCCACCGAUUGAAUGGUCCGGUGAAAUCUCCGGACUGGCGUGAGUCGGAGCAAUCUGACAAACACCGGAAAGUUGAUUAAACCUUACCAUUUAGAGGAAGGUGAAGUCGUAACA
rnacentral:rRNA from 1 species